rnacentral:rRNA from 1 species
GUCCACGCCGUAAACGAUGGAUGCUAGCCGUCGGAUAGCUUGCUAUUCGGUGGCGCAGCUAACGCAUUAAGCAUCCCGCCUGGGGAGUACGGCCGCAAGGUUAAAACUCAAAGGAAUUGACGGGGGCCCCGCACAAGCGGUGGAGCAUGUGGUUUAAUUCGACGCAACGCGAAGAACCUUACCAGCUCUUGACAUUCACUGAUCGCCUGGGGAGACCUGGGAGUCCCAGCAAUGGGCAGUGGGACAGGUGCUGCAUGGCUGUCGU